rnacentral:tRNA from 1 species
GCCGACUUAGCUCAGCUGGUAGAGCAGCUCCCUCGUAAAGAGCAGGUCACCGGUUCGAAUCCGGUAGUCGGCU